rnacentral:rRNA from 1 species
AGUGAACGCUGGCGGUAGGCCUAACACAUGCAAGUCGAACGGUAGCACAGUAAGAGCUUGCUCUUACGGGUGGCGGGUGGCGGACGGGUGAGGAAUACAUCGGAAUCUACUUUUUCGUGGGGGAUAACGUAGGGAAACUUACGCUAAUACCGCAUACGACCUACGGGUGAAAGCAGGGGGUCUUCGGACCUUGCCCGAUUUAAUGAGCCGAUGUCGGAUUAGCUAGUUGGCGGGGUAAAGGCCCACCAAGGCGACGAUCCGUAGCUGGCCGGCGAGGAUGGUCAGCCAAUUUGGACCGGGGACACGGUCCAGAUUCCUACGGGAGGAAGAGUAGGGAAAUAUCGGACAAGGGGGGCAGGCCGGACCAAGCAAGCCGGCGGGGGGGAGGAAGUUCUCCGGGUGUUAAAGUCCGUUUGUUGGGAAAGAAAAGCAGGAGGGUAGAACGCCGAUGUUGUGACGGUAACCAAAGAAUAAGCAACGGCUAACUUCGUG